ensembl:snRNA U2 U2 spliceosomal RNA
AUUGCUUCUCGACCUUUCGGCUAAGAUCAAGUGUAGUAGCUGUUCUUAUCAGUUUAAUAUUUGAUAUGUCCUCUAUCCAAGGGCAAUAUAUUAAAUGGAUUUUUGGAUCAGGGAGAUAGAAUAGGAGCUUGCUCCAUCCACUCCACACAUUGAUUGGUAUUGCAGUACCUCCAGGAAUGAUGCACCCCUC